GUGAAUCAUCGAAUUUUUGAACGCAAAUUGCACUCUCUGGCAUUCCGGAGAGUAUGCCUGUUUGAGGGUCAGUAUAAUCAAAAUCGGAGCGAUGCUUUUUGGGUGACGCACCGGAGUUUGGGUCAUCUUAACUCUUUUUUUAAGGAACCUUAAAUUAAACUUCUUUUUUUGUCAAUUUUUAAGCGGAACUAAUUUUUUUUUUAUCCUCUUCCCUGGUGGCAAAAAUUUUAUUAAAUCGUUGAUCCCG
rnacentral:misc_RNA from 1 species